rnacentral:rRNA from 1 species
GGGUCAGUAGGUUGGUCGUGCCACCGGUACGUACUGGUCUCACUGAUUCCUCCUUCCUGAAGAACCGUAAUGCCAUUAAUUUGGUGUUGCGGGGAAACAGGACUGUUACUUUGAAAAAAUUAGAGUGUUUAAAGCAAGCAAACGCUUGAAUACAUUAGCAUGGAAUAAUGAAAUAGGACGAUCGAUCCUAUUUUGUUGGUUUCUAGGAUUGACGUA